UACGAAGGGGGCUAGCGUUGCUCGGAAUUACUGGGCGUAAAGCGCACGUAGGCGGCUUCUUAAGUCGGUGGUGAAAUCCUGGAGCUCAACUCCAGAACUGCCUUUGAUACUGGCGAGCUUGAGUUCGGGAGAGGUGAGUGGAACUGCGAGUGUAGAGGUGAAAUUCGUAGAUAUUCGCAAGAACACCAGUGGCGAAGGCGGCUCACUGGCCCGAUACUGACGCUGAGGUGCGAAAGCGUGGGGAGCAAACAGG
rnacentral:rRNA from 1 species